rnacentral:rRNA from 1 species
UACACUCCUACGGGAGGCAGCAGUGGGGAAUUUUGGACAAUGGGCGAAAGCCUGAUCCAGCAAUGCCGCGUGUGUGAAGAAGGCCUUCGGGUUGUAAAGCACUUUUGUCCGGAAAGAAAUCCUUGGCUCUAAUACAGUCGGGGGAUGACGGUACCGGAAGAAUAAGCACCGGCUAACUACGUGCCAGCAGCCGCGGUAAUACGUAGGGUGCGAGCGUUAAUCGGAAUUACUGGGCGUAAAGCGUGCGCAGGCGGUUUGCUAAGACCGAUGUGAAAUCCCCGGGCUCAACCUGGGAACUGCAUUGGUGACUGGCAGGCUAGAGUAUGGCAGAGGGGGGUAGAAUUCCACGUGUAGCAGUGAAAUGCGUAGAGAUGUGGAGGAAUACCGAUGGCGAAGGCAGCCCCCUGGGCCAAUACUGACGCUCAUGCACGAAAGCGUGGGGAGCAAACAGGAUUAGAAACCCCUGUAGUCCCAUG